AAGCUAUGUUGUGUGGUAGGUACAUAGAUUACUCUUGCCAUGUUUUUAAAAGCAUCGAACUCAAGCUGGGAAUUGGGACAAAAGAGAGCACAAGCAGGGAGUACAGCAGGCAGAGGAAGAGGGAGAAGGAGGCUCCCUGCUCCCAGAACUCUGAGAUCAUCACUGGAGCUGAAGGCAGACUCUUGA
rnacentral:lncRNA from 1 species